GAUGAACGCUGGCGGCGUGCUUAACACAUGCAAGUCGAACGGAAAGGCUCCUGCUUGCCGGGGUCCUCGGGUGGCGAACGGGUGAGUAACACGUGGGUGAUCUGCCCAGCACUUCGGGAUAAGCCUGGGAAACUGGGUCUAAUACCGGAUAGGACGAUGGUUUGGAUGCCAUUGUGGAAAGUUUUUUCGGUGUGGGAUGAGCUCGCGGCCUAUCAGCUUGUUGGUGGGGUAAUGGCCUACCAAGGCGUCGACGGGUAGCCGGCCUGAGAGGGUGUACGGCCACAUUGGGACUGAGAUACGGCCCAGACUCCUACGGGAGGCAGCAGUGGGGAAUAUUGCACAAUGGGCGCAAGCCUGAUGCAGCGACGCCGCGUGGGGGAUGACGGCCUUCGGGUUGUAAACUCCUUUCGCUAGGGACGAAGCGCAAGUGACGGUACCUGGAGAAGAAGCACCGGCUAACUACGUG
rnacentral:rRNA from 1 species